CGCCGGCGGGGGCCUCGGGAAGAGUUAUCUUUUCUGCUUAACGGCCUGCCAACCCUGGAAACGGUUCAGCCGGAGGUAGGGUCCAGUGGCCGGAAGAGCACCGCACGUCGCGCGGGCGCCGGUGCGCCCCCGGCGGCCCAUGAAAAUCCGGAGGACCGAGUACCGUUCACGCCCGGUCGUACUCAUAACCGCAUCAGGUCUCCA
rnacentral:ncRNA from 1 species